AGUGAUGGGGUCCACUGCAACCUCCACCUCCCAGGUUCAGGUGAUUCUCCUGCCUCAGCCUCCCGAGUAGGUGAGACUACAGGUACACGCCACUACUGCCCAGCUAAUUUUUGUAUUUUUGAUAGAGUCAGAGUUUCACCAUGUUGACCAGGCUGGUCUCGAACUCCAGACUUCGGGUGAUUUGCCUGCUUUAGCUUCCCAAAGUGCUGGGAUUACAAGCAUGAGCCACCA
rnacentral:lncRNA from 1 species